rnacentral:rRNA from 1 species
ACCUACGGGGGGCUGCAGUCGAGAAUCUUCGGCAAUGGGGGCAACCCUGACCGAGCGACGCCGCGUGCGAGAUGAAGGCCUUCGGGUUGUAAAUCGCUGUCAGAGGGGAGGAAAUGCCGGUGGGUUCUCUCAUCGGUUUGACCUAUCCUCAGAGGAAGGACGGGCUAAGUUCGUGCCAGCAGCCGCGGUAAGACGGACCGUCCAAACGUUAUUCGGAAUCACUGGGCUUAAAGGGUGCGUAGGCGGUCCGGAAAGUUGGGUGUGAAAGCCCUCGGCUCAACCGAGGAACUGCGCCCAAAACUACCGGACUCGAGGGAGACAUAGGUGAGCGGAACUUAGGGUGGAGCGGUGAAAUGCGUUGAGAUCCUAAGGAACACCAGUAGCGAAAGCGGCUCACUGGGUCUCUUCUGACGCUGAGUGCACGAAAGCUAGGGGAGCGAAGAGGAUUAGAUACCCUAGUAGUCC